rnacentral:rRNA from 1 species
AACGAACGCUGGCGGCAUGCCUAACACAUGCAAGUCGAACGAGAUCUUCGGGUCUAGUGGCGCACGGGUGCGUAACGCGUGGGAAUCUGCCCUUUGGUUCGGAAUAACAGUUGGAAACGACUGCUAAUACCGGAUGAUGACGAAAGUCCAAAGAUUUAUCGCCAGAGGAUGAGCCCGCGUAGGACUAGCUAGUUGGUGUGGUAAAGGCGCACCAAGGCGACGAUCCUUAGCUGGUCUGAGAGGAUGAUCAGCCACACUGGGACUGAGACACGGACCAGGCGCGUCGGGGAGGCAGAUGUGGGGAAUAUUGUAAAAGGGGCGAAAGCCUGAUCCAGCAAGGCCGCGUGAGUGAUAAAGCCCUGAGGGUUGAAAAGCUCUUUUACCCGGGAUGAUAAUGACAGUACCGGGAGAAUAAGCCCCGGCUACCUCCGUGCAAGCCGCCGCCGUAA